AUGCUCAGUUUGCCAGCACAUAUGCUAAAAUUGGAAUGAUACAAAAAGGAUUAGCAUGGCCCCUGAAUAAGAAUAACACAAAUCUGUGAAACCAUUCCCCAUUUUU
ensembl:snRNA U6 U6 spliceosomal RNA